CCUCUUUAGCCACAACCGGGCUAAAGAUUUGCCGUCAUGGUGGCCCAGGCUGUGCCCGUACCUUUUCUGUAAUGCUGUCCCUCUCACUUUCACCUGAUGACAUCUUAAAUGUGGCAAUGUCAGGGGGGUCAGGCUUUAAGAAGCCACCCAAACGGAUAGCCCAACAUGAGAGCCUCGGCCCCCACCUGGACUGUCUUUGAGGACCAGAACUGGACAUCUCCAUCCUCCUGGCCCACGCCUGGCAGUGGCAAGCAUUCCAAUGAACGGGGCCUGCACCUGCCACCUGUCACCUGAGUGCUCUAGUAACUGCCCGCUGAGGCUCCAGCUGCUGUCCCAACGUAUAAAUGGACUUUCCCACCAUCUGGAUGGAUUUUCAGGUUCAGCACUCAGUGACAGAAGUGACUCUGGGAAAAAUCACCUAAUUUUUCUGUGUCUCAGUUUCCUCUUCUCUAAGAUGGAGAUACUAAUGAAACUCAUCUGCGUUGUUGUGACAAUCAGUCUACAUGUUUAAAAAAGUGCUUGGAGUAGCCCCACACCAAUAGA